UACGGAGGGUGCAAGCGUUAUCCGGAUUCACUGGGUUUAAAGGGUGCGUAGGUGGGCAGGUAAGUCAGUGGUGAAAUCUGGCAGCUCAACUGUCAAGGUGCCAUUGAUACUGCGGAGCUUGAGUACAGAUGAGGUAGGCGGAAUUGACGGUGUAGCGGUGAAAUGCUUAGAUAUCGUCAAGAACACCUAUAGCGAAGGCAGCUUACUAGGCUGUAACUGACGCUGAGGCACGAAAGUGUGGGGAUCAAACAGG
rnacentral:rRNA from 1 species